UACGGAGGGUGCAAGCGUUGUUCGGAUUUACUGGGCGUAAAGCGCGCGCAGGUGGGUGAACAAGUCGGAAGUGAAAUCUUGAGCUCAACCUCGAGGCUGCUCCCGAAACUGUUCGCCUAGGGACUGGUAGAGGCUGGUAGAAUUCCCGGUGUAGCGGUGGAAUGCGUAGAGAUCGGGAAGAAUACCUGUGGCGAAGGCGGCCAGCUGGGCCAGAUCCGACACUGAGGCGCGAAAGCGUGGGGAGC
rnacentral:rRNA from 1 species